rnacentral:rRNA from 1 species
AAGGCGACGAUCGGUAACUGGUCUGAGAGGAUGAUCAGUCACACUGGAACUGAAACACGGUCCAGACUCCUACGGGAGGCAGCAGUGGGGAAUAUUGGACAAUGGGGGCAACCCUGAUCCCACCAUGCCGCGUGUGUGAAGAAGGCCUUCGGGUUGUAAAGCACUUUAAGCAGGGAGGAAGGCCUGGUGGCUAAUAUCCACUGGGAUUGACGUUACCUGCAAAAUAAGCACCGGCAAACUUCGUGCCAGCAGCCGCGGUAAUACGAAGGGUGCAAGCGUUAAUCGGAAUUACUGGGCGUAAAGCGCGCGUAGGUGGUUUGGUAAGCGACAUGUGAAAUCCCCGGGCUUCAACCUGGGGAACUGCAUGUCGAACUGCCAGGGCUAGAGUAUAGUAGAGGAGUGUGGAAUUCCCGGUGUAGCGGUGAAAUGCGUAGAUAUCGGGAGGAACAUCAGUGGCGAAGGCGGCACUCUGGACUGAUACUGACACUGAAGCGCGAAAGCGUGGGUAGCGAACAAGACUAGAUACCCUGGUAGUCCACGCCGUAAACGAUGUCUGCUAGCCGUUGGGGGCGCUUGACGCCUCAGUGGCGGAGCUAACGCGAUAAAGCAGACCGCCUGGGGAGUACGGCCGCAAGGUAAAACUCAAAUGAAAUGACGGGGCCGCACAGCGGUGGAGUAUGUGGGUUAAUCGACGCAACGCGAAAACUAACUGGUCUGGACAUCACGAAUCUGCAGAGAUGCGGAGUGCUCGGAGCGUGAGACUGUGCUGCAUGCCUGCGUCAGCUCGGUCCUUGAAUGUGUUA